AUGCGUAAUCAGAUGAGAGACUGGACAAUCGUGGAUCCUCUGUGGAGCCUUCUGAUCCCUCCAGAUCAGAACAUAAGAAACACAAGCAGAGACCCACAGGGAAGAAAUCUAACUGCUGCUCUGACUGUGGGAAGAGAUUCACCUCAUCAGGCAUUACAAUACACCAGAGAAUACACAAAGGAGAUAAAUCUUAUAGCUGUGAUCAAUGUGGGAAGAGAUACUCUAGUAAAAGAUCUCUGAUCAAACAUCAGAAAAUUCAUACAUGAAGGAGUUGUUUCAUGAUAUCAAUUUAAUAAUGUCACAAUGUAGAUUAUUUUAACAUUAUAUCAGUAGUAUUUUAAUGAAUGUCAAUGUAGAACUCUAAAUGUUUGCCCCCUGUUCAAUUGAUUUUAGCCUCAGGGAAACAAUCCAGGCUCUGAAUUGAAAGAGUUUACUAUUUAUUGAUUGAACAAAAAGUGACUAACAGAAAAGAGUUGUGUUACACUUACCACAUUGGUGACCCACUGGAAUGACAAUGAAACACUCCAAAAUGUUUAGGUUUUCAAUAUAUCCCAAACUGUUUCUGCAUAUUGGUUAUUGAUUUGGACACGUUAAAACUGUGUUUUGACAUUGCGCUAUUCCCACUUAGCAAAAUGUCAUUCAAAAGACGUUGGAAAUAAGACUAUGCCCGACGUCCAAUAUAUGUUCGGUUGUAGUUGAAAGGGAAAGUUGAAAAGAUGUAUUUUUGGGUUGUAAUUUCAACGUACUUGCAGCUUAUACACCUAUAAUCAAUAUGAUUAACAAUCUAACAUCACUCCAGUAGUUCUUGACAACAUUCAAGUGCUAAUUGUCUUUAUUCCACUACUGAAGAAGCAUGACUCAAAUCACCUCAUAUUUCAAACAUCCAGCCUGACAAAAGAUACGUUAUAUUAUUUCAUGCCUCACCCUUCAGUUCAUUAUUGCCACUACAUAUUAACAAAGGGGCGUACAUUUGCUUUUGAUAUUUCAAAUGUACAAUUAUGUAACAUUUAGUAAUCAUAGUUAUUCAAGCAACCAACUUUACAUUUUUGGGUAAAAUUAUAUUGACAUUGUUACCCUGCUUUUAUAUCCAACAAUAUGCCUAUCUUGUGAACCCUGAAAAGAGAGAGAAACUCCGCAGUGAGGUGGAAAGUUACUAGGAAUAUCGCAGGAGUUUCCUCUUGAAAUCAGACAUGUCUGUGGUAAGGACAACUUGGUUGCUGAUUGUCUCAAGGGUGGGCAGUCAAAAAUAUUUGUGUUUUGCGUUUAGCCAGUGCGUUACCAUGGAUCACAAUUUAUUUUGACUGCAUGCUUUUCCGUAUUGGAGAUGAGUUUUGUUUGGGCUCGUUCCAAGGGGACGAGAGUUCUAGAAGCUAGUGAGUUUUAGGAAGACGAGAGUUCUAGAAGCUGAGUUUUAGGAUUCUAUAAAAAGGAAACGGAGAAAAAAAUAUUCCGAUUGUAUAUUAUUAUUUAGAAAUAUGUGUUUUUAAUUGUUGAGAGCCAGUAGACACCAUGUUUAUAUUGUAGAAGGUGAAGCAUUGUAGAUGAUUAUGUGAAAUGGAAGUCAUAGAGAUACUCUGAAUGAUCACCUAUGAAAAGCCAACUGACAUUUACUCCUGAGGUGCUGACCUGUUACACCACUGUGAUUAUUAUUAUUUGACCAUGCUGGUCAUCUAUGAAAAUUUGAACAUCUUGGCCAUGUUCUGUUAUAAUCUCCACCCGGCACAGCCAGAAGAGGACUGGCCACCCCUCAUAACCUGGUUCCUCUCUAGGUUUCUUCCUAGGUUUUGGCCUUUCUAGGGAGUUUUUUCUAGCCACCGUGCUUCUACACCUGCAUUACUUGUUCUUUGGGGUUUUAGGCUGGGUUUCUAUACAGCACUCUGUGACAUCAGCUAAUGUAAGAAGGGCUUUAUAAAUACAUUUGAUUGAUUGAUUGAUUGUACAACUGAAUGCAUUCAACUGAAAUGUGUCUUGGGUACACAUAUUGGUGUCACCUCGUUAGUCAGUAUGUGUUACACCUGUGCUGGCUUGUCCAUCUUGUUAGUGGGAAGGUGUUUCAACUGAGCUGGUCCAGGUUCUAUUUAAGAGUGUCUGGCCCAGUGCUCCAGUUGUCUUGAUAGAUGUGGAGAGUCAACACCUUUUAGUUGCUCCACCUUUUUGGUUUGCUUCCUGUCUUUAAAUUUGGUGUGGGUUUUUCUUUUGUUUGCCUCUUCUUGGGCAGAGUUAGUGGGUCUCAUGGUGGGUGUCUUUCAGGUGCCAUAGUGUUUUUCAGAGCCCCUCCUAUAAAACAAGCUUAUAUUUUGGGUUGGAAAUUGCAUCCAAUUAUUAAUAUUUUAAUCAAUGACAUUUCCUUAGGAUGCUCAUCAGUCUUUCAGUUGUUAUUCUUCAGUUUUUUAUCAUUUUUGUUGUGUACUAAAUAUGUUUAUAUAUUUGUUUAAUUUAAUUAUUUUACUUUUAUGUUUAGAACCUGUGAAGCCAUUGUGUUGCAUCCAUGUCUGAAAUGUGCUGUAGAAAUAAAGCUUGAUUUGACUUGAACAUAUUGCAAUAAAAAAUUAACCCUCUUAGUGUCCCCCUUGUCCCUUUGAAUUAGACCAGGUACUGUGUUACAGCUGCUCUCUCCUCCUCAAUGCCAUGAACUAGGUCCAAAGCCCUCUCCUCCACGGUUUCCCAACCUAAACUCACUGAGAUGAGGUCCAAAGCCCUCUCCUCCACUGUUUCCCCAACCUAAACUCACUGAGAUGAGGUCCAAAGCCCUCUCCUCUGUGGUUUCCCCAACCUAAACUCACUAAGAUAUGGUCCAAAGCACUCUCCUCCACGGUUUCCCAACCUAAACUCACUGAGAUGAGGUCCAAAGCC
rnacentral:lncRNA from 13 species